rnacentral:rRNA from 1 species
GAUGAACGCUGGCGGUAUGCUUAACACAUGCAAGUCGAACGGUCACUUCGGUGAUAGUGGCGGACGGGUGAGUAACGCGUGAGAAUCUGUCUUCAGGUCGGGGACAACAGUUAGAAAUGACUGCUAAUACCGGAUGUGCCGAAAGGUGAAAGAUUUAUUGCCUGAAAGAGAGCUCGCGUCAGAUUAGCUAGUAGGUGGUGUAAGAGACUACCUAGGCGACGAUCUGUAGCUGGUCUGAGAGGACGAUCAGCCACACUGGAACUGAGACACGGUCCAGACUCCUACGGGAGGCAGCAGUGGGGAAUUUUCCGCAAUGGGCGAAAGCCUGACGGAGCAAUACCGCGUGAGGGUCGAAGGCUCUUGGGUCGUAAACCUCUUUCUCAAGGAAGACACAGGACGGUACUUGAGGAAUAAGCAUCGGCUAACUCUGUGCCAGCAGCCGCGGUAAU